UUUCUAUUUUGAUAUAUUUUAAAACACAAUUCAUUCCUGUGACGCAAUGCUGAAUUUUCAGCAUCCAUCCCUAGUAAAAAGAAAGAAUAUUAAUAUUAAAUAAUAAUAAUAAUAAUAAUAUAUGUGUGUGUGUGUGUGUGUGUGUGUGUGUUUGUGCUAAGUGUACCUAAGUGAUAUGUCAAUAAAUAUGUUAAUGGAUCUGAAGUAUACUUAGUAUGAAAUAAAUGCAUUUUAAACGUAUUUUAAAUACAUUAUGACAUUGUUUUUUUUUUUUUUUUUUUUUUUUAUAAACUAGGGAUUUCUCUAGUCUUCAUUGUCACAUGAUUCUUCAGGAGUCAUUCUAAUAAUUCUAAAAUUCAUUCUAAUAUCAUUCUAUAUAGCUGAUUUGGUGCUCAAAAAUAUUUUGCAAUUGUUGAAAACAGUUGUGCUGAUUAAUAUAUUUUUUGUGUAUCUGUGACAUAUUUUUCAGUAUUUGGAACGACAUGAGGGCAAGUAAAUGAUGAUAGAAUUUUCAUUUUUGGAUGAAUUUACUUGUGUUCUAGUCUAUUAGGAGGAGUUCAAACACCCUAUCAUUUAAUUUUAUUAGGAUGUAACCAAAAAAUUGUCCAUAAAAAGCUGGAUAACUGCAAAACAAUGCAAUGUCCAAUAAUAAAUAUCUUCAUUCAAAGUGUUGGAGGUGCAGGUCACUGUGCCUGUGAGUGCAGACGGUCUGAGUUUUCUUUGUGGCCUAGGUGUGUAAUUGAAUCGGGCAGUUCUCUGGACAGCUUUGUUCCUCUCCUGUCCCUAGCGGUACUGGCAGCCACACAGGAAGACGCGUGUCAAACACUGAGACAAGGGAGCUCUCUCUGCACAGCCCACACAGGAACAGGGAAACAGAGACAGAGAGAGAAGAAAGGUGGAAUUAAUGCUGUGGAGGCCUUCAGAGAGGUGACAUUUCACUGAGCUCGACAGCCAACAAUACCAACAAACUGACGGAGUGAGAUGACAGAGGCACCUGAAUUUGAUGCUGACCAAAUGGGUUUCCCACACAGAAUGGGACUGCAGUGUCCCCAUCCCCAUCUAUGUUGAUGUGUGUGUGUGUGUAUGUAUGUGUGAAAACUCACAGUUUCUUAAGAACAGAGGGGAUAUUAUUAUUUUAUUUUUCAGGUAUAAUAUGUUCAUCAUUUUACACCAUUUAAUGACAUGCUGUACCAUGCAUCAAUCUGUUUUAAAAUAAAAUACGGAAAACGAACA
ensembl:lncRNA